CUCUAAGACAGGUGCUGCAUGGCUGUCGUCAGCUCGUGUUGUGAAAUGUUGGGUUUAAGUCCCGCAACGAGCGCAACCCUUAUCCUUGUUUGCCAGCGAGUAAUUGUCGGGAACUCCAGGGAGACUGCCGGUGAUAAACCGGAGGAAGGUGGGGACGACGUCAAGUCAUCAUGGCCCUUACGAGUAGGGCUACACACGUGCUACAAUGGCGCAUACAGAGGGCAGCAAACCAGCGAUGGUGAGCGAAUCCCAAAAAGUGCGUCGUAGUCCGGAUUGGAGUCUGCAACUCGACUCCAUGAAGUCGGAAUCGCUAGUAAUCGUGAAUCAGAAUGUCACGGUGAAUACGUUCCCGGGCCUUGUACACACCGCCCGUCACACCAUGGGAGUGGGCUGCAAAAGAAGUGGGUAGUUUAACCCUUUCGGGGAGGACGCUCACCACUUUGUGGUUCAUGACUGGGGUGAAGUCGUAACAAGGUAGCCCUAGGGGAACCUGGGGCUGGAUCACCUCCUUA
rnacentral:ncRNA from 1 species